AUUGAACGCUGGCGGCAGGCCUAACACAUGCAAGUCGAACGAGUGGCGGACGGGUGAGUAAUGUCUGGGAAACUGCCUGAUGGAGGGGGAUAACUACUGGAAACGGUAGCUAAUACCGCAUACCAUCAGAUGUGCCCAGAUGGGAUUAGCUAGUUGGUGGGGUAACGGCUCACCUAGGCGACGAUCCCUAGCUGGUCUGAGAGGAUGACCAGCCACACUGGGACUGAGACACGGUCCAGACUCCUACGGGAGGCAGCAGUGGGGAAUAUUGCACAAUGGGCGCAACCCUGAUACAGCCAUGCCGCGUGUAUGAAGAAGGCCUUCGGGUUGUAAAGUUCUUUCAGUGGGGAGGCGUUACCUGCAGAAGAAGCACCGGCUAACUCCGUGCCAGCAGCCGCGGUAAUUC
rnacentral:rRNA from 1 species